rnacentral:rRNA from 1 species
UAGUAACUGCGAGUGAAGAGGGAAAAGCUCAAAUUUAAAAUCUGGCGGGCUCUGUCCGUCCGAGUUGUAAUCUGGAGAAGCGUUUUCCGCGUCGGACCGUGCWUAAGUCUCCUGGAACGGAGCGUCAUAGAGGGUGAGAAUCCCGUCCAUGGCACGGACCGCCGAUGCUUUGUGAUACGUUUUCAAAGAGUCGAGUUGUUUGGGAAUGCAGCUCAAAACGGGUGGUAAAUUCCAUCUAAAGCUAAAUAUUGGCGAGAGACCGAUAGCGAACAAGUACCGUGAGGGAAAGAUGAAAAGCACUUUGGAAAGAGAGUUAAACAGUACGUGAAAUUGUUGAAAGGGAAACGCUUGAAGUCAGUCGCGUCCGACGGAACUCAGCCUUGCUUCGGCCUGGUGUACUUUCUGUCGGACGGGUCAACAUCAGUUUUGACCGGUGGAGAAAGGUAGGGGGAAUGUAGCGCUGUUUCGGCGGCGUGUUAUAGCCCCUUGCUGCAUGCAUCGGUUGGGACUGAGGACCGCAGCACGCCUUUUUGGCCGGGGGUUCGCCCCACGUACCGUGCUUAGGAUGUUGGCAUAAUGGCUUUAAGCGACCCGUCUUGAAACACGGACCAAGGAGUCCAACAUGCUUGCGAGUGUUCGGGUGGAAAACCCUUGCGCGUAAUGAAAGUAACAGUUGGGAACCUCCGCAAGGGGGUGCACCGACGCCCGGCCCUGAAGUUCUCUGACGGUGCUGCGGUAGAGCAAGUAUGCUGGGACCCGAAAGAUGGUGAACUAUGCCUGAAUAGGGCGAAGCCAGAGGAAACUCUGGUGGAGGCUCGUAGCGAUUCUGACGUGCAAAUCGAUCGUC